CAAUGAUACACAGAAAUAUGACAAAUAUAUUCCUAAACGUACUGGGUUUCCUCGUGUUCAAUGCACAUUGUCAUGACAAGUCCGAAAAGCCUUGUUUUUUGAAGGACUAUCUAAUCAAACAGAUAGAAAGGAACUUGGUGGAACUAAAGGAUAUGCAUGUUCAUACACCCGCAUAUAGGGGACAUAACGCUGCAACGUAUAUCAGAUGGGGAAAGUCCAGUUGUCCACAGGAUUCAACACUUGUUUAUGACGGAUAUGCUGCAGGUAAUCAUUUUAACGAAGGAGGAUCAGGUUCUAAUUUUCUUUGUCUACCAA